CCCAGCCCCCCUCCCCUCCCCGGCGCAGAGUCGACGCGGGAAAACCCCCCUUCCUCCUCCCGCCUCUCUGCCGGCGGGCGCCAUUGAACGGAAUCGGGAGAAAAUGCUAACGUUUAGCCGCCGGCCGCCUGCUGCAGAGCAAGGAUCUGAAGGGUGUGUUUCCAUUGUGCAGUAAAGACACUGAUGGAGCGGAAUCGAGAAGAGAGACAUGAGGGGAGAUUAUCUCAUCUUACCACUGAUGGACUGAUGCUGAUUCCGACCCACACGUGGCGAGGGAAGGAUUAGCUUGGGCUCUUGGAACAAUUCUCCAGAGAAAAGCUCUUGAAAGAAGGUAUUAUACUAAACAUCCAGCAAUAUGCUCUUUGUAAGAGUCUUACCGGCGCUUUCCUCCUCGCGUCCCUCGCUCUCUGCCAGUUCCCCGCGGAGGCGCUCAACAGGAAUGCGUGAAGGACAUUUCCUAAUUGGCAUUCCGAGGCACGGAAGCAAAGCAGAGGAUGAGAGACGGUUGGGAUCUUCCAGCAGAGCCUUCUGUGUGAAUGAUGUUCUGUGCAGCUUGAAGACGAGCAGAGGGAGAGGCGUGCGUCUACACAAUAUCCAGAUAAUUAAGCUCUGACAUAACGGAGCGCGACGGAUUCACCGGGAAGCCGUUGGCCACGAAAAGGAACGGACGGACGAGCAGACUUUCAUUUUUUUUUUUUGCUACGAGUGUGUGAUGUGCUUUUGAUUGACUGGAGAAUUACUGCCAAACAUAUACGGGGGGUAAACAGAGGGCAAAAGCAGUUUGUUUGUUUGUUUGUUGUUGUUGUUGUGUAGACAUCGGGGGUCCAGGGGUCAGACCGCUGAGGGUGACUUUGACAGCACGCCACAGGGCUCUGGCACAAGACCGAGAGAAGAAAGAAGAAAACGCCACGAGGGAGGGGAAAAGAGAGAAAAGCCGUGAAAAUAAACGCAGACGAGAACAUUUGUGACAAAACAACAAAAAAUAAAUUCAAACAGCUUUUCCUCCAAGGCUCUUUUCUCCAAUCGCCCCUGUCGUAUUCUGCAAAGCUUCGCUGGCCUGUCACAAAAACAAGGUUAGCAGUCUUUUCCCCCCCCGGCUUAGUGGCCCCCUUUCUGUGGCAGAUACAAAAUGUUUUAUCAAACCCUGUUUAUGGAAAUGUCAUGUCUCGCUGCAUAAUAGAGGAGCUAGAGACGGAUGAAAAACAACACCAGAGGCUGACAGGCCGCCAGCGAGGGGAAGUUCCUGCGUUAAAAAUGAGUUCUCAACAAGGGGCUCGGGCAGAAAUGACCGCUCACCUCGGCGUCCCCUCGCGCUUUCACCUUCACCCGCGAGGCCCUGUUUGGGGUUUGGAUCCAUCCAAAAAAAUCAUCCAAAAAAUGUGCCCCAUUUCCAUGAGAGAACCAGAAAAAAAGAAAUGACAGAAAGAAAUGAGAUCUGAUGGCGGAUGUGGGGAACGGGGAGAUGAAACUGUCAAAUAUCUGUGUGAAAAAGCUCUUUAGUUCACUUGCACUAUUUGUAGCGGCAGCCGGCUCGUGCUAGAUUGGAUGCUAACACUGAAUUACACAAGCGAAUUCCUGCAAGUGCUCCGAAUUAACCCAGUUAGCUUUCACAGACUCAACAGUUGCCGUCCCAAUUUCCGAAUGCACCAGAUGUUUGGAUGCUUCGCACCGGGGGACCGGCGAGGACGAGAUCAAACCGGGAAGUUGUCAAUUAUUUGUUGAUUUUCUGAGAAAAUAAUCCAUCUGUCAAAGAAUAAAAGUUUGCUCUUGGAAUACAUGAUGUGCCUCUGUACAAAAAAACUAAAAACUAAACCCUUGGGCAGC
ensembl:lncRNA